rnacentral:snRNA from 1 species
GUGCCCGCUUUGGCAGCAUAUAUACUAAAAUUGGAACGAUACAGAGAAGAUUAGCAUGGCCCCUGCGAAAGGAUGACAUGCAAAUUCAUGAAGGGUUCCAUAUUUUU